rnacentral:rRNA from 1 species
GCGGAACACGUGUGCACUGCCUUAUCUGGGGGAUAGCCUUUCGAAAGGAAGAUAAUACCCCAUAAUAUGUUGAAUGGCAUCAUUCGACAUUGAAAACUCCGGUGGAUAGAGAUGGGCACGCGCAAGAUUAGAUAGUUGGUGAGGUACGGCUCACCAAAGUCUACGAUCUUUAGGGGCCUGAGAGGGUGAUCCCCCACACUGGUACUGAAACACGGACCAAACUCCUACGGGAGGCACAUGAGAAUAUUGGACAAUGGGUGAGAGCCUGAUCCAGCCAUCCCGCGUGAAGGACGACUGCCCUAUGGGUUGUAAACUUCUUUUGUAUAGGGAUAAACCUACCCUCGUGAGGGUAGCUGAAGGUACUAUACGAAUAAGCACCGGCUAACUCCGUGCCAGCAGCCGCGGUAAUACGGAGGGUGCAAGCGUUAUCCGGAUUUAUUGGGUUUAAAGGGUCCGUAGCGGAUCUGUAAGUCAGUGGUGAAAUCUCAACAGCUUAACUGUGAAACUGCCAUUGAUACUGCAGGUCUUGAGUGUUGUUGAAGUAGCUGGAAUAAGUAGUGUAGCGGUGAAAUGCAUAGAUUUUACUUAGAACACCAAUUG